rnacentral:tRNA from 1 species
CGCCCUGUAGCUCAAUGGCCAGAGCGUUUCCUCUUCGUCGCUACCGAGGGGGAGGGGAUCCCGGUUCGAUUCCGGGCAGGGUAC